CUUCACUCAGUUGAAUAUGAAUCUAUUUUCUUGGCUAAUGACUAUGACUGUCUGUUUCACAGGUGGUUAUGGUGUGACAUUGAUUGAAUCUGGGCCAGUAGUCAUCAGUGCCGGAGGAUCUCACACCCUGACCUGCACAGCUUCUGGGUUCACAUUCGAAGACUAUCAGAUGGCUUGGAUCAGACAAGCACCUGGGAAAGGGCUGGAAUGGGUGGCACUUCUCUCACAGCCCUCUGGUUCUAGCAAAUACUACUCUCAGACAGUGCAGGGAAGAUUCACCAUCUCCAGAGACAACAACAAGCAGCAGGUGUAUCUGCAGAUGAACAGCCUGAAGACUGAGGACACGGCUGUGUAUUACUGUGCCAGAGAGUCACAGUGGCACAAUAUGCUGCAGAGAUGAACAAAAACAUCAGAC